rnacentral:rRNA from 1 species
GACGAGCUACUCCGAGACAGCCUAAUAGGGCAAACCCGUCUCUGUGGCAAAAGAGUGGGAAGAUCUCCGAGUAGAGGCGACAAACCUAACGAGCCUAGUAAUAGCUGGUUGCUCAGGAAAGGGCACACUUCAGCCUCAAGGCUUCUACUGUCACUCAGGUCACUACCAACAAAGACAUCAAGAAACCCUUAAGAGUUAUUCAACACKCCUCCCCCUCUCUUCCCCYUUUUUUCAAKAWWAACAGGCGGAUAAAGAUCACAUUAAAUCAAAGGGACUUUGAAUGGUGGGCCUAAAAGCAGCCACCUGCACAGAAAGCGUUAAAGCUCAGACAAAACCUCACCCUAUUAUCCCGAUAAAACAAUCACAAUCCCCUAAACCUACAGAGCCACUCUAUACAACUAUAGAAGCAAUAAUGCUAAAAUUAGUAACAAGAAGGCACGACCUUCUCCAAGCACACGUGUAAGUCAGAUCGGACCCACCACUGACAAAUAACGGACCAGCCGGAAGAGGGAAGUACAGAAUAGUAAUAGAAAUCAAGAAAACCCUGUAAAAUACUACCGUUAACCCAACACAGGAGUGCACCAUCAAGGAAAGACUAAAAGAAAAAGAAGGAACUCGGCAAACACGAGCUUCAGUAACCCUGUUUACCAAAAACAUCGCCUCUUGCAAACCAAUGUAUUAGAGGUCCCGCCUGCCCUGUGACCAAAAGUUUAACUUCCGCG